UCGACGACCAGGAGGCAAAAAAAAAGGGCAAAACCCUUGUUCAUCCAAUUAAAGCUUAAAUUCUGCAUAUUAGAAGGAUUUAGGGUUGUUUCCUUGUUGCAUGAUACAUAAUCUUCAUCCUCAAAACAAGUUCUAAGCAAGGAUUGAAAGAAGGCGGCUCGAGCCAACCGGGACGCGAACAAGACAAGACAAAGGUAAAUAGUCAUUUGGAGCAAAUCUUGGACCGGAGGAACGAACACACAUCACGCCGUUUAAUUGCUUCCGCUCGUCAAGUUAUAAAGGGUGAUAGUGUCUUUUGGUUAGUGGAUGUUUUUUUAAUUAUGAUGUGAUGGUUACAACUUUUAUGUCUUUUGGAACGUGUCGUAGAAUUUAGUUUGAAUGAUAAUUGUUAAAAGCAGGGAAUCGCUUAUAGUACGAACGGGUCAUGCCCAAUUUUUGUUAAAA